rnacentral:rRNA from 1 species
GAUGAACGCUGGCGGCGUGCUUAACACAUGCAAGUCGAACGGAAAGGCUCCUGCUUGCAGGGGUACUCGAGUGGCGAACGGGUGAGUAACACGUGGGUGAUCUGCCCUGCACUUCGGGAUAAGCCUGGGAAACUGGGUCUAAUACCGGAUAGGACGAUGGUUUGGAUGCCAUUGUGGAAAGUUUUUUCGGUGUGGGAUGAGCUCGCGGCCUAUCAGCUUGUUGGUGGGGUAAUGGCCUACCAAGGCGUCGACGGGUAGCCGGCCUGAGAGGGUGUACGGCCACAUUGGGACUGAGAUGCGGCCCAGACUCCUACGGGAGGCAGCAGUGGGGAAUAUUGCACAAUGGGCGCAAGCCUGAUGCAGCGACGCCGCGUGGGGGAUGACGGCCUUCGGGUUGUAAACUCCUUUCGCUAGGGACGAAGCGCAAGUGACGGUACCUGGAGAAGAAGCACCGGCUAACUACGUG